rnacentral:Y_RNA from 1 species
GGCUGGUCCGAUGGUAGCGGGUUACCAGAACUUAGUAACAUUAAUAUCUCUAAAGUUAGUAUACAACCCCCCCACUGCUAAAUUUGGCUAUAAA